ensembl:snRNA U6 U6 spliceosomal RNA
UUGCUUUGGCAACACAGAUGCUAAAAUUGGAACAAUGCAGAGAAGAUUGCCAGGAACCCGUAUGUAAGAAUGAAGUAAAAAUUCAUGAGUCUUUUGCUAAUUUU